AUUGAACGCUGGCGGCAGGCCUAACACAUGCAAGUCGAGCGGAUGAAGGGAGCUUGCUCCUGGAUUCAGCGGCGGACGGGUGAGUAAUGCCUAGGAAUCUGCCUGGUAGUGGGGGAUAACGUCCGGAAACGGGCGCUAAUACCGCAUACGUCCUGAGGGAGAAAGUGGGGGAUCUUCGGACCUCACGCUAUCAGAUGAGCCUAGGUCGGAUUAGCUAGUUGGUGGGGUAAAGGCCUACCAAGGCGACGAUCCGUAACUGGUCUGAGAGGAUGAUCAGUCACACUGGAACUGAGACACGGUCCAGACUCCUACGGGAGGCAGCAGUGGGGAAUAUUGGACAAUGGGCGAAAGCAUGAUCCAGCCAUGCCGAGUGUGUGAAGAAGGUCUUCGGAUUGUAAAGCACUUUAAGUUGGGAGGAAGGGCAGUAAGUUAAUACCUUGCUAUUUUGACGUUACCAACAGAAUAAGCACCGGCUAACUUCGUG
rnacentral:rRNA from 1 species